AACAUACCAUCAUCUGUGAUAUUUGCAGUGGAACAGCGGAGUCCUGGUCCACAUGGGCUGGUCGGACGGGGAGCAGCUGCUGUGUGUGCAGGAGAGCGGAGAUGUGCUCGUUUAUGACAUGUUUGGCGCCUACCAGAAGACAUUCAAUAUGGGGCAAGAAAUUAGGGACACUAAGGUCAGCAAAGCACAGCUGUUCUCAAAUAGGACUGGCUCUAACACCAACCGCUGAGCAACAUCUCCAAGCCCAAAGUCAGCCCGUACCAGAUCUGCCACAUGACGACACAGAGACUGUAAGGAACGUUUGUCUUAUGCUUCUGGCAUAUGUCAUAAACGUAUCGCCGGCUCGAAAACGGAAACGCGGGCUCUGAAGUUUUCUCGCGCGGAAAUAUGCGACGGAUUUUUCAAGCAAGUGUCAUCAGAAACACAUGUCAUUAGCUACAUAAUCGAGAAGAGAGAACAAUACAUGAAAUAGAAGUGGACUAUGCAGCCAUUUGUUAUUUUACUAUUUUUUGUUACUAUUCGUACACUCAGUAUUUUUUUGUAUUUGUCUAUUAUUCUUUUA